ACUCCUACGGGAGGCAGCAGUGGGGAAUAUUGCACAAUGGGGAAACCCGUACGAUCCAGCCAUGCCGCGUGAGUGAUGAAGGCCUUAGGGUCGUAAAGCUCUUUCGCCUGUGAAGAUAAUGACGGUAGCAGGUAAAGAAACCCCGGCUAACUCCGUGCCAGCAGCCGCGGUAAUACGGAGGGGUUAGCGUUGUUCGGAAUUACUGGGCGUAAAGCGCACGUAGGCGGAUCGGAAAGUUGGGGGUGAAAUCCCGGGGCUCAACCCCGGAACUGCCUCCAAAACUAUCGGUCUAGAGUUCGAGAGAGGUGAGUGGAAUUCCGAGUGUAGAGGUGAAAUUCGUAGAUAUUCGGAGGAACACCAGUGGCGAAGGCGGCUCACUGGCUCGAUACUGACGCUGAGGUGCGAAAGUGUGGGGAGCAAACAGGAUUAGAUACCCUGGUAGCGACUGA
rnacentral:rRNA from 1 species